AUGUUAGCGGCGACGGGUGAGUAACACGUGGGUAACCUACCUAUAAGACUGGGAUAACUCCGGGAAACCGGGGCUAAUACCGGAUAAUAUUUUGAACCGCAUGGUUCAAUAGUGAAAGACGGUUUCGGCUGUCACUUAUAGAUGGACCCGCGCCGUAUUAGCUAGUUGGUAAGGUAACGGCUUACCAAGGCGACGAUACGUAGCCGACCUGAGAGGGUGAUCGGCCACACUGGAACUGAGACACGGUCCAGACUCCUACGGGAGGCAGCAGCG
rnacentral:rRNA from 1 species